rnacentral:tRNA from 1 species
ACUUAAGUAGUUUAAUUAAAAUUAUGAUUUGUGGUAUCAUAGAUGUAAUAAUUAUUUAUUUACCUUAGGUA